UUGGAUAGAGUACCUGGCUACGAACUAGGUGGUCGGGAGUUCAAAUCUCUCCGGGCGCG
rnacentral:tRNA from 1 species